GUGGGGAAUAUUGGACAAUGGGCGAAAGCCUGAUCCAGUCAUGCCGCGUGUGUGAAGAAGGUCUUCGGAUUGUAAAGCACUUUAAGUUGGGAGGAAGGGCAGUAAGUUAAUACCUUGCUGUUUUGACGUUACCAACAGAAUAAGCACCGGCUAACUUCGUGCCAGCAGCCGCGGUAAUACGAAGGGUGCAAGCGUUAAUCGGAAUUACUGGGCGUAAAGCGCGCGUAGGUGGUUCAGCAAGUUGAAGGUGAAAUCCCCGGGCUCAACCUGGGAACUGCCUCCAAAACUACUGAGCUAGAGUACGGUAGAGGGUAGUGGAAUUUCCUGUGUAGCGGUGAAAUGCGUAGAUAUAGGAAGGAACACCAGUGGCGAAGGCGACUACCUGGACUGAUACUGACACUGAGGUGCGAAAGCGUGGGGAGCAAACAGGAUUAGAAACCCGGGUAGUCU
rnacentral:rRNA from 1 species